AAUUAAUAAUUAGAUAGGGUUGCCUUUAAUAAAUUACCUUUGUUUAUGUAAUAUGUAUUGCAUGUAUGUUAAAUACUUAAAUCGUCUCUUAAUAAAAUGUUACAUACUAUAUAUA